rnacentral:rRNA from 1 species
GCGUGCCUAACACAUGCAAGUCGAACGGGAAUCUUCGGAUUCUAGUGGCGGACGGGUGAGUAACGCGUAAGAAUCUAACUUCAGGACGGGGACAACAGUUGGAAACGACUGCUAAUACCCGAUGUGCCGCAAGGUGAAAACUAAUUGGCCUGAAGAAGAGCUUGCGUCUGAUUAGCUAGUUGGUGGGGUAAGAGCCUACCAAGGCGACGAUCAGUAGCUGGUCUGAGAGGAUGAGCAGCCACACUGGGACUGAGACACGGCCCAGACUCCUACGGGAGGCAGCAGUGGGGAAUUUUCCGCAAUGGGCGAAAGCCCGACGGAGCAACGCCGCGUGAGGGAGGAAGGUCUUUGGAUUGUAAACCUCUUUUCUCAAGGAAGAAGUUCUGACGGUACUUGAGGAAUCAGCCUCGGCUAACUCCGUGCCAGCAGCCGCGGUAAUACGGGGGAGGCAAGCGUUAUCCGGAAUUAUUGGGCGUAAAGCGUCCGCAGGUGGUCAGCCAAGUCUGCCGUCAAAUCAGGUUGCUUAACGACCUAAAGGCGGUGGAAACUGGCAGACUAGAGAGCAGUAGGGGUAGCAGGAAUUCCCAGUGUAGCGGUGAAAUGCGUAGAGAUUGGGAAGAACAUCGGUGGCGAAAGCGUGCUACUGGGCUGUAUCUGACACUCAGGGACGAAAGCUAGGGGAGCGAAAGGGAUUAGAUACCCCUGUAGUCCUAGCCGUAAACGAUGGAUACUAGGCGUGGCUUGUAUCGACCCGAGCCGUGCCGAAGCUAACGCGUUAAGU